rnacentral:rRNA from 1 species
GACGAACGCUGGCGGCGUGCUUAACACAUGCAAGUCGAACGGAAAGGCCCUGCUUUUGUGGGGUGCUCGAGUGGCGAACGGGUGAGUAACACGUGAGUAACCUGCCCUUGACUUUGGGAUAACUUCAGGAAACUGGGGCUAAUACCGGAUAUGAGCUCCUGCUGCAUGGUGGGGGUUGGAAAGUUUCGGCGGUUGGGGAUGGGCUCGCGGCUUAUCAGCUUGUUGGUUGGGUAGUGGCUUACCAAGGCUUUGACGGGUAGCCGGCCUGAGAGGGUGACCGGGGAUAUUGGAACUGAGAUACGACCCAGGCUACUACAGGAGGCAGCAGUGGGGAAUAUUGCACAGUGGGCGGAAGCCUGAUGCAGCAUCACCGCGUGCGAGAUGACUGCCUUGGGGUUGUAAACCGCUUUCGCCUGUGACGAAGCGUGAGUGACGGUAAUGGGUAAGGAAGCACCGGCUAACUACGUG